rnacentral:rRNA from 1 species
GUGGGGAAUAUUGGACAAUGGGCGCAAGCCUGAUCCAGCCAUGCCGCGUGAGUGAUGAAGGCCCUAGGGUUGUAAAGCUCUUUCAGUGGGGACGAUAAUGACGGUACCCACAGAAGAAGCCCCGGCUAACUUCGUGCCAGCAGCCGCGGUAAUACGAAGGGGGCUAGCGUUGUUCGGAUUUACUGGGCGUAAAGCGCACGUAGGCGGAUCGUUAAGUCGAGGGUGAAAUCCUGGAGCUCAACUCCAGAACUGCCUUCGAUACUGGCGAUCUUGAGUACGGAAGAGGUGAGUGGAACUCCUAGUGUAGAGGUGGAAUUCGUAGAUAUUAGGAAGAACACCAGUGGCGAAGGCGGCUCACUGGUCCGGUACUGACGCUGAGGUGCGAAAGCGUGGGGAGCAAACAGGAUUAGAUACCCCUGUAGUCC